ACUGGUGCCUAUGAUGUGAAGUUUAGAUGAAACAGUCGCCUAAGAAACAAUCAUGAUCUAAUGGAUUCAAACAACCAGUCAACUGUUGGCGUUGAGUAUCAAAAACAAAAAAAAAAAGGACGUAACAGUCCCACUGCCACUACCAUACCCACCAACGUGCAACCAUACCUCCUCUUUUUCUCCCUCUCUUUUCUUCUCUUCCCCACCGCAGAUUGACCUUCUCCCCAUUUCUUCUUCUUUUCCUCCUCCCACACCUUUCUCGUCCUCCAGCGAAGAGCAGAGCAGGCAGCCUUGCUACCUUUUUCUCCAGCCACCAGCCCUUGCGGAGCUCCUUGGAGUGUGCCGGAGCUCGCCGGACCACCAAAAAAGAGGCGAAAACAAAGCCUUAGUUGCUGCCCUCUUUUCUAGCCAAGCACAGCAGCCACCAGAGCUAGCUGUGGCCUUUGCUGGAGCUCGCCGAGACAACCGGUGAAAAAGGGCAAAGCAGCCCUAGUUGCUGUCCUUUUCUUGGCAGCACUGCCGGAGUUCACCGGAGCUCGGUGGAGCUAACUGAGACGACCAGCAACGAAGGGGAAAAAACCCUAGUUGCUGCCCUCUUUUCCAGCAACUACAGUAAUCCAUAGAAGAUACAAGUUUUGGGGGGGGGGCACGGUGACUUGCCGACACUCGAAGUUUUGCUCUACAUAAAAUACACAAUUGAAGAAAACAAAUCAGAUGCUCCAGAAGACAAGAAGCAAAUUAUAAUUACUGAUGAAAAUCUCCAAACAGAAAGCACACGUACUUGAAACUGCUUUGUUGCCCAUGAAAAUUCCUGAAAAGAUCUCGUG